rnacentral:rRNA from 1 species
UGGGGAAUCUUGGACAAUGGGGGCAACCCUGAUCCAGCGAUGCCGCGUGGGUGAAGAAGGCCUUCGGGUUGUAAAGCCCUUUAGGUUGGGAAGAAGUUUGCGGGAGGAAAUGCCCGUAGAUUGACGGUACCAACAGAAUAAGCACCGGCAAACUCUGUGCCAGCAGCCGCGGUAAUACAGAGGGUGCGAGCGUUAAUCGGAGUUACUGGGCGUAAAGGGCGCGUAGGCGGAUAUAUGAGUGUGAUGUGAAAGCCCUGGGCUUAACCUGGGAAGUGCAUCGCAAACGAUAUAUCUGGAGUAUAUGAGAGGGUGGCGGAAUUUCCGGUGUAGCGGUGAAAUGCGUAGAGAUCGGAAGGAACGUCGAUGGCGAAGGCAGCCACCUGGCAUAAUACUGACGCUGAGGCGCGAAAGCGUGGGGAGCGAACAGGAUUAGAUACCCCCGUAGUCC